AUUGAACGCUGGCGGCAUGCUUUACACAUGCAAGUCGAACGGUAACAGGCCGCAAGGUGCUGACGAGUGGCGAACGGGUGAGUAAUGCAUCGGAACGUGCCCAGCCGUGGGGGAUAACUCAGCGAAAGCUGCGCUAAUACCGCAUACGAUCCAUGGAUGAAAGCGGGGGACCGUAAGGCCCCGCGCGAUGUGAGCGGCCGAUGUCAGAUUAGGUAGUUGGGGGGGUAAAGGCUCACCAAGCCAACGAUCUGUAGCUGGUCUGAGAGGACGACCAGCCACGCUGGGACUGAGACACGGCCCAGACUCCUACGGGAGGCAGCAGUGGGGAAUUUUGGACAAUGGGCGCAAGCCUGAUCCAGCAAUGCCGCGUGCAGGAAGAAGGCCUUCGGGUUGUAAACUGCUUUUGUACGGAACGAAACGGUCCUGGUUAAUACCUGGGGCUAAUGACGGUACCGUAAGAAUAAGCACCGGCUAACUACGUGCCAGCCGCCGCCGUAAAAC
rnacentral:rRNA from 1 species